rnacentral:rRNA from 1 species
UAGGGAAUCUUCGGCAAUGGGGGCAACCCUGACCGAGCAACGCCGCGUGAGUGAAGAAGGUUUUCGGAUCGUAAAGCUCUGUUGUAAGAGAAGAACGUGUGUGAGAGUGGAAAGUUCACACAGUGACGGUAACUUACCAGAAAGGGACGGCUAACUACGUGCCAGCAGCCGCGGUAAUACGUAGGUCCCGAGCGUUGUCCGGAUUUAUUGUGCGUAAAGCGAGCGCAGGCGGUUUAAUAAGUCUGAAGUUAAAGGCAGUGGCUUAACCAUUGUUCGCUUUGGAAACUGUUAAACUUGAGUGCAGAAGGGGAGAGUGGAAUUCCAUGUGUAGCGGUGAAAUGCGUAGAUAUAUGGAGGAACACCGGUGGCGAAAGCGGCUCUCUGGUCUGUAACUGACGCUGAGGCUCGAAAGCGUGGGGAGCAAACAGG